CCUACGGGGUGCAGCAGUGGGGAAUAUUGGGCAAUGGGCGCAAGCCUGACCCAGCAAUGCCGCGUGAAGGAAGAAGGCUUUCGGGUUGUAAACUUCUUUGACAGGGGAAGAGCAGAAGACGGUACCCUGAAAACAAGCCACGGCUAACUACGUGCCAGCAGCCGCGGUAAUACGUAGGUGGCAAGCGUUUUCCGGAUUUACUGGGUGUAAAGGGCGUGUAGCCGGGAAGGCAAGUCAGAUGUGAAAUCUGGAGGCUCAACCUCCAAAUUGCAUUUGAAACUGUUUUUCUUGAGUACUGGAGAGGCAGACGGAAUUCCUUGUGUAGCGGUGAAAUGCGUAGAUAUAAGGAGGAACACCAGUGGCGAAGGCGGUCUGCUGGACAGCAACUGACGGUGAGGCGCGAAAGCGUGGGGAGCAAACAGGAUUAGAUACCCCGGUAGUC
rnacentral:rRNA from 1 species